rnacentral:rRNA from 1 species
GAUGAACGCUGGCGGCGUGCCUAAUACAUGCAAGUCGAGCGAACAGACGAGGAGCUUGCUUCUCUGACGUUAGCGGCGGACGGGUGAGUAACACGUGGAUAACCUACCUAUAAGACUGGGAUAACUUCGUGAAACCGGAGCUAAUACCGGAUAAUAUAUUGAACCGCAUGGUUCAAUAGUGAAAGACGGUUUUGCUGUCACUUAUAGAUGGAUCCGCGGCGCAUUAGCUAGUUGGUAAGGUAACGGCUUACCAAGGCAACGAUGCGUAGCCGGCCUGAGAGGGUGAUCGGCCACACUGGAACUGAGACACGGUCCAGACUCCUACGGGAGGCAGCAGUAGGGAAUCUUCCGCAAAGGGCGAAAGCCUGACGGAGCAACGCCGCGUGAGUGAUGAAGGUCUUCGGAUCGUAAAACUCUGUUAUUAGGGAAGAACAAAUGUGUAAGUAACUAUGCACGUCUUGACGGUACCUAAUCAGAAAGCCACGGCUAACUACGUG